rnacentral:rRNA from 1 species
GACGAACGCUGGCGGCGUGCUUAACACAUGCAAGUCGAACGGAAAGGCCCCUUUGGGGGUACUCGAGUGGCGAACGGGGGAGUAACACGGGAGUAACCUUCCCUUGACUUCGGGAUAACUGCAGGAAACUGGGGCUAAUACCGGAUAGACAUCCUUGCUGCAUGGGGGGGGUGGGAAAGCUUCUGCGGGUUUGGAUGGACUCGCGGCGUAUCAGCUUGUUGGUGGGGUAGUGGCUUACCAAGGCGUUGACGGGUAGCCGGCCUGUGAGGGCGACCGGCCACAUUGGGACCGAGGUACGGCCCAGGCGCCGAAGGGUGGCCGCAGUGGGGAAGACUGCACCAUGGGCGGAGGGCUGAUGCAGCAAGGCCGCGUGCGGGAUAACGGCCUUCGGGUUGUAAAACGGUUUCAGCAGGGGCGAAGCUUGUGGUGACGGUACCUGCAGAAGAAGCACCGGCUAACUACGUG